CCACUUGCAUCGCAUCAGUGAAGAGAGUGCAUUUAGGCAUGGCCUGGAUCUACGAAAUAACUCAGAAACAUGAGCAGCAACCAUAGCUGCUGCAACUAUUUCAUUUGAGCUAUAGCUCCAUGAGGUACCAACUGAUGAUGGCUUCAGGGAGAAAAGAGCUUCCAAGAUGCCAAGUAUUCUGCGAGUAUGAAGAAUUGCUGAGCUGAUGCUAUUGUGUAGCUCUUUAUUGAUCCCAUUAGUUUUUCCAGGUACA
rnacentral:lncRNA from 1 species